rnacentral:rRNA from 1 species
AGUGAACGCUGGCGGUAGGCCUAACACAUGCAAGUCGAACGGCAGCACAGUAAGAGCUUGCUCUUACGGGUGGCGAGUGGCGGACGGGUGAGGAAUACACCGGAAUCUACUUUUUCGUGGGGGAUAACGUAGGGAAACUUACGCUAAUACCGCAUACGACCUACGGGUGAAAGCAGGGGAUCUUCGGACCUUGCGCGAUUGAAUGAGCCGAUGUCGGAUUAGCUAGUUGGCGGGGUAAAGGCCCACCAAGGCGACGAUCCGUAGCUGGUCUGAGAGGAUGAUCAGCGACACUGGAACUGAGACACGGUCCAGACUCCUACGGGAGGCAGCGGUGGGGAAUAUUGGACAAUGGGGGCAAGCCUGAUCCAGCCAUACCGCGUGGGUGAAGAAGGCCUUCGGGUUGUAAAGCCCUUUUGUCGGGAAAGAAAAGCAGCAGGUUAAUACCCCGCUGUUCUGACGGUACCCAAAGAAUAAGCACCGGCUAACUUCGUG